UAAAAGACUGGGGUUGAGUCAGAUUGGGAGAAGGCAGAGAAAACGCACAUCUCCAGAUCUGACAAGACUUGUCAGCUUGCACCAACUCCUGCGUCUGAGUCUUUUCUUGCGCCCGCCAGACAUACUUGCCCUUCGAGACCCUCAAAACUGCUGAGGCUGGUUCCCGGCAAAGUUUCUGCCCUGACUUCCCCCAGUGAUGGACUGUGAGCAGAGUGUGCAAGCCCCAAAAAACAUUUAAAAAAAAUCUAUUGUUUAUAAUAGCAUCGUAAAAAACUAGAUCAAAUUUCUACUAGCUCUCAAUUAAACCCUUCAUCAUAGACAAAUUGAAACUUAAAUAAAAUAAGGGAAAAUAAUAUAAAAUGUGAAUGUGUCUUUUAACCAGCAUCAACAACUAUAAAAACUCGAGCAACUGUGUUCUGGCUAACUAGACUAGAGUAUUCUAUAUGAAAUCUAAGAUGUCUUUUCUGUCUGCACACUUUCUUCAGAAUGUGCCUUCAAAUGAAUGGGAACUUAACGUACAUCUGGUUUUAUCCACUAAAAUAUCAACAAUAAUGAAUGAUAAUUGACAUCAGUGUUUAAUCUCUCUAAUGGUCACAUAAAUCUGAUUUCGUCUGUGUUACUUUUGUUUUCAAAGGUUUCAGUAAGUUCAGCUAUUGUAUUUUGUUGAAAAAAUUUCUAACUUUUCUAGAGUUAUUUUCCUUAUGUCUUUUUCAUGCCAUGGAACUCACUCCAUGAGGAAUAUAAACUUGCAAUAAUAUAAAAUUUCUUUACUCUUAAAGUCCAUGUUAAAAUUCAUUUAUUCAGAACAACAUUUCAGUGUCCUCAAGCCAUUAUUUAGAUUCACUGUUUUCUCUUAAACCUUUUAUUUUAUGAAAGCAAUCUAACUGUGCACUGCAGAUGUAGGUCAAUUGGUAGAGAGCUUUCCCAGCAUGAAAAAGGCCUUGGGUUCAAUCCCCAGCACCUCAUCAAAUGCAGAUGCUUGUGGAUCCCUAUCAUUUUGGUGUCAGGAAGUAGAGGUAAGAGGGUCAGGACUUCAAGGCCGUUCUUGGUACAGAGUGAGUUAGAGGCUAUUCUGGGCUACUUGAGAUCCUGUCUCAAAAAAAAAAAAAAAAUGAAUAUCAAGUCCAGUAAGGUGGCUUAGGAGAUUAAUAUACUUGCUGCCACGCCUAAGGACUCUAGUUUAAUUAUUGAGUAUUUAACUAGCUCAGAUCUCUUCUUUCUACCCUUUAUUCUCCACAAACCUGCCUACAAGAUCGCCCAUGGCAGCAUAAUGGAUCUCACCAUCAGUUAAGGAAAUAGCAGAUCCCUAUUGUCACCUUGGAGCUUCCUCUGUCUGUCUCAUCCAUAUCAAAUCAGUUCGAAGACUAUCUCUAUUUCCAAAUUCCCUUGCAAUCAAUCAUUCUCACUCCUUUAUCUUCUAGGAGGCCUCCUCAAUCCCACCUUCCAAGUCAUCAACAUUACUAUAUUUCCUGUGAUUGUUCUUGCAAAAACAUGGAUGAUCAAACAGCCAGAGUUACCCUAUUGACACUGAGGUCAUGUCAUGUAAUAUCAAUUCUGAGAGGCAGCACAUGGACUCCCAUUUCAGUCAGGGAACAUUCAUUAGGUAUACAGUGUACACACUACAUACAGUACACCUUUGAAGUUUGUUAUCACACCUCUGGAGCUGCUGAUAUCUGAAUUCUAGCCUCCCUGUUAUCUCAGGCUAUCUUCUCAUCUCAGGACUUUGUACUUCAUGCUUGCUUCCAUUUUUAUGCUCUCCCCCAGUAGGCAUGUAGUUCUUAAUCACCUUUCUCUAGGUAUGCUUCAAUUAGACAGGAUCCAGGAUUUAUAUUCCCAUUGGGGUGUAAAUAUGUUUCUGCCUCUGUCAUGCACCAUCCUUUCAUUAUGUUUCAGUUUCUCCACAGCAUUUGCUGCCACAUAAUGUGUAUUUGUCUAGGGUCAUUUGCUGUCAGCCUCCCACAGUGUAAUAAACCUCAGGUUGAAGAAUGUGCCUUUGUCUUGCUCACUUCUUCAUCACCAUCAACACAUUGGUAUAGGUGGCUUAUCAUCAGGCAAUGAAUGAGCACUAUGAGGAAAAUCCUUGGACUCUACUGUGAAAAUUUUUGCUUGUUCUGUAGUUCUAACUGCUCAGUGGGAAAUUGAAGUCUUAUUACAUUCAUAAACAGUGGGUGCAAAAUGUCAGGAGAGCGUUAAAAACAGUCUAAUACAAAAGAGGGAUGUCCUUAGAAUCAUACUGUGUUGAGCACAAGCACAUAAAGACUCACUGCAGAGGGAGCCCCUGUCUAAUCUACAGGACAGAUGGGAAGCGCUAUACAAGAAAUCUGUCACCAUGCACAAAACUUAAGUUCAAGUGGAUCAAAGACCUCAAAAUAAAUCCAGUUACUCUGAACCUGAUAGAAGAGAAAGUAGGAAGUAGUCUGGAAUGCACUGGCACAGGAGACCACUUCCUAAUUAUAACACCAGUAGCACAGACACUGAGAACAACAAUUAAUAAAUGGGACCUCCUAAAAGUGAGAAGCUUUUAUAGAGCAAAGGACAUAGUCAAUAAGACAAAAUGAUACAGAAUGGGAAAAGAUCUUCACCAACCCCACAUCUGACAGAGGGCUGUUCUCCAAAAUUUAUAAAGAACUCAAAAAGCUAGACUUCAAAAUACUGCACAAACCAAUUAAAAAAUGUACUACAGAACUUAACAGAGAAUUCUCAACAGAAGAAUCUCAAAUGGCUGAAAGACAUUUAAGGAAUUGCUCAACAUCCUUAGUCAUCAGGGAAAUGCAAAUCAAAACAACUCUGAGAUACCAUCUUACACUUGUUAGAAUGGCUAAGAUCAAAAACACUGAAGACAGCUUAUGUUGGAGAGGAUGUGGAAGCAAGUUGAACACUCCUCCACUAUUGGUGGGAAUGCAAACUUGUACAGCCACUCUGGAAGUCAGUAUGGCAGUUUUUUCAGAAAAUUGGGAAACAAUCUUCCUCAAGACCUAGCUAUACCACUCUUGGGCAUAUGCCCAAGGAAUGCUCAAUCUUACCACAAGGACCCUUACUCAGCUAUGUUCAUAUCAGUAUUAUAGGUACUAGCAAGAACCUAGAAACAACCUAGAUGCCCCUCAACUGAAGAAUGGAUACAGAAAAUGUGGCACAUAUGCGCAAUGGAGUACUACUCAGCAGAGAAAAACAAUGACAUCAUGAAAUUUGCAGUUCCAGCUCCUGGAUUUGUGAUGCAGACUCCAGUGUGACAGUUGCCUGCAAGGUCUGUCCACUGAACGUGAACACAGGGAACGAGAAGGCUGUGACACAGCAAACAUUACAAAAGGAAGCCUGCCCAAGUGACAGCUGUCAUCACAUCCUGACAGAGCUCAUGUACCCUACAGAAUAGGAAAACGUCCUUAGCACUCCUGCUUUACAGUUAAGAAAAGCACAGUGAACAAGGUUCUUCAGGCACAGAUUUCCACAGCCAGCUCCAGCAGAAGCAGCGUGCAGAGAGACCUCUUCUCCAUAGGCCAGAGGCCUCGGGAUACAAGGAAUUAAAUAGUUAACCAUGAACUAGGCAGCAAUUUGAGACGAGAUACAACAAACCUCACACACACUGCAGAGAUAUGCCAUUACUGGAACCAUAUGUUUACAACCAUUUUAGGGUGCGGAAUAAGGUAGAAGCCAAGAUAACUGGAUGUGAUUUGCUAAAACCAAUAUCAAGAUCAUUGCCUUUAUGUCUACCUCAACUUCUGUAAUUGGUUAAGACCACCCACAAGCCUGUCCUGCUUGCCUCCAACCAAAGCUCCUUAGCUUCCGAAGUGAGGCCCCAAAAAGUCUUGUUACCUACCAGGACUUAUUAGAACAAAGAUGGUGAGGGUUUGAAGUUAGAUCUGAACGCUGCUAUCCACGUACUAGCUUUUCUGGCGUCCAGUGGAUUUGCUCAGCAUAGUUCAGCUGCAGGAACCACAAUGCACUUUACUCCUUUCUUUUCCUCUGUGGCAAGCUGCAGGCUCAAGGCAGUUUGGCAGGAUUUGUACAGUCUUCUGACUUCUGCCCCUACCCUCUCAGUGUGUUUUGGCCAAUCAUUAAAGCUCAUGGAUCUUGUUGUUUUUCAGAAUCUCCUGCAUUUCCAAGAAGAAUAAAGAGAAAAUGAAACUA